rnacentral:misc_RNA from 1 species
UCUGGAAAUACUAGCAGUCCAAGUUGAACGCUCACACUUAUCGGUUGUUGGAAGAUGUCGCCAGCGACUAAUGCUCGCAAGAGUGCUCGUCAGCGACCGGCCUGGGUCUGUAGCUCAGUUGGUUAGAGCACCGUCUUGAUAAGGCGGGGGUCGUUGGUUCGAGACCAACCAGACCCACCAUCCCAAUCCAAACACACAGGACCUGGGGGAUUAGCUCAGCUGGGAGAGCACCUGCUUUGCAAGCAGGGGGUCGUCGGUUCGAUCCCGUCAUCCUCCACCAACAACACAAUCGGAAAUGAUCAACACCAAAGCGGCUUGGCCUGUCCAGGCUGCUUUGUUGUUGACACCAGCAUCUGCUGGGGUCAAUCGGCUGUUCUUUAACAAUUCAUAGAGUCGAAUCAGCGUUAUUGGCGGAAACUGCUUCAUGGCAGACCGUGCCGCCAAUGACAAUUUUUUGAUUGCGUCAACCAAACUUCAAUGGAGCGAAAGCUUAAUUUGAAGACGGCAUAACGCGCGAGGUGAAAGACCUCGCGAUUCCUUGAUGGGCUUUGACAUCUCGUGAGAGAGUUCAAAGUUAUAGGGUCAAGUGAAUAAGAGCAUAUGGUGGAUGCCUUGGCGAUUACAGGCGACGAAGGACGUGAUAGCCUGCGAUAAGCUUCGGGGAGCUGGCAAAUAAAGCUUUGAUCCGGAGAUUUCU